CCUACGGGGGGCAGCAGUGGGGAAUAUUGCGCAAUGGGCGCAAGCCUGACGCAGCGACGCCGCGUGAGGGAUGAAGGUCUUCGGAUCGUAAACCUCUGUCAGCAGGGAAGAACGGUCACUGUGCUAAUCAGCAGUGAAUUGACGGUACCUGCAAAGGAACCACUGGCUAACUCCGUGCCAGCAGCCGCGGUAAUACGGAGGGUGCGAUCGUUAUGCGGAAUUACUGGGCGUAAAGCGCUCGUAGGCGGUAUGUCAAGUCAAGGGUGAAAUGCCCGGGCUCAACAUGGGAACUGCAUUUGAAACUGGCAAACUGGAGUGUGGAAGAGGAUAGUGGAAUUCCGGGUGUAGGGGUGAAAGCCGUAGAUAUCUGGAGGAACAUCAGUGGCGAAGGCGACUAUCUGGAACAUAACUGACGCUGAGGAGCGAAAGCGUGGGUAGCAAACAGGAUUAGAUACCCGGGUAGUC
rnacentral:rRNA from 1 species